rnacentral:misc_RNA from 1 species
AUUUACAGAGCGAGUACUACCUAUAUAUAUUUAACAUAAAUGCAUUAAAGUGAAUGUCAAUAUCCGUACAGUUUCUUCUCCGAUCGAAGCCAAAACGAGAUGAUUCACACAAAACAACACCGGAAACUUGGAUCGUUGCAAGUUAAUGACGUUAGCAACAUCCUCUACAAGUACGAGAUCAGUAAAUGAAUCGCCGGUCGGCCGGCGUUAUUAGUUGACGGAAUAUACACUAGUUAGUUCUCACAAUCCGGCAGUACAAUCUCACUCCUUUAACUCAUCAGUCACCGUUACCGUCGCCGUCUCCGUCGCCGGUGCCG